AGUAAAAUAGAUUGGACAUUUGAAAACUAUAGUUGGCUGGUGAACAAUUGCCAUAUAAAGGCAGGGCUUUUGAAUCCUAGAGUAUUGACUACUUACCUAUUCUAAUGGAUUGCAAAUUUGGCAUGACACAACAGCACCUGCAUCCCAGACCAUUUAGAUUAUAUCAUACAAUACUUCUCCAUCCUGAUUUUACAAGAAUAUUUAAUGAAGUAUGGACAUAGUCUGAUGGAGGC
rnacentral:lncRNA from 1 species